CAGACCCACCCCCAAGCUGAGUGGGCACCAUCUAAUCAGCUGCCAGCGUGGCUAAAAUAAAGUAGGCAGAAGAAAGUGGAAGGAGAGAGAUUUGCCGUGUCUUCUGCCCUUCAUCUUUCCUCCAUGUUGGAUACUCUUAAGUUCUUCAGCUUUUGGAUUCUUGGACUUACACCAGUGAUUUGCUAGGGGCUCUCGGGCUUUCAGCCAGACUGAAGGCUGCACCAUCAGCUUCCCUAUGUUAGAGGUUUUGAGACUCAGUCUGGAUUCCUUGCUCCUCAGCUUGCAGAUGCCCUAUUGUGGGAUCUCACCUUGUGAUCAUCAGGGUAAAUCUCUAAAAUUCAGAGGUAAAAUGACUGCAAAUCCACCAGACUG
rnacentral:lncRNA from 1 species